CACGCAAGGCAGGAAAGCACGCACCGCGAGUGCCGACUCUGUGCCUACAAAGAAGGAGUAAGCCAGCAUAUUUGCAAUAGGGAACUUGCAAAUAAUGAGACGUGGCUUAUUUUCUUUGCAGGAAACCGAGAUCAGAAGUAAAUGUACACAGCAUGACCGGCGGGCGUCCAAGCAUUCCUCUGGAACUCCUGCUGUGUCAGAGCACCUGGGGGCUGGGGGCGAGGCCAGCCCAAGCCCCUGGUGUGGCCUUCUCUAGCGGCCAGCAGGCGCGCCUGCAGUGAGCUCCUGGUGACACUGCUCCCCUGACCCCACCAGUUGGUGCCUUGCCCUGCCCCUCCAGGAGACCAGGCCGGGCUCUGCUUGCCUGAGGGAGGCCGUGGGGCCCGGGUCAGCCUGCAGGGAAGCAGGCUGGGCGAGAGCCUGUGACGGCUUCCUCCUGUCGGCCUCAUGCAGAUCAUGACGUGGGUUUCCCCAUGUGAAACCUCGUCAGGGAUGCCGAGUUCAGCCCACCGGAGCCUGCAGGACCCCAGCGUGGCGGGUCAAAAGGAACAGAAAGGGAAGAUUUGUCUCGAUGAGUCAUUCGCUGCGUCCCUUGGGAUAGCUAGUUUUAAAAUAGUUGGGACUUUUUCAAGAUCACAGCGACUCUCAGGCUAUUUUAGUGCAAAGUUCAAUCAGAGAGAGAGGCGAGCACAUGGGACGGCUUCAGAGGGAACCUGCCCUGCUUUGGCAUAGAUCGAAUCAGUCUUUGCAUUUGGUUCCUGCUCUAAUAUCCUCAGAACAACAUCUUUUAUCUGCAGAGCGCUUAAUGCAAGGGCCACAUGGAAACAAGAUCAAAAUGCUGCAGGUCAAGUUCUUCCAGGGAGAGGGACUGCGAGGUGGCCUGGGGCAAACCCACGGACAUGCAUUCGGACAGGUGGGCCAACGAGUUCCCCUCUACCUCUCACGCUCGGAAGGACCGUCUGGACUCCACGGCUCUGGGCGAGUGAGUGGCCUCUGGGUGGUCACAACUCCCUUGGGGCUGGCAGACUCCGGCAGUGACCUAUGAUGGCUACCCUAGGCUGCACAUAGGGGAACUGAGGCCCAGCCGCCAUGACUUGGCCAAUCACCAUAAACAGAGGGGCAGAGGGCAGGCCGGUCCCACGUCUCCCGACCGCAUGCUGACUUCAGGAUGCGUGUGGCUGCAUCCUGGGCUCUGGCGGCAGAAGGCAGGGGGACCGAGGAUUGGUGAGUGGUUCUGGUGGAAGCCUUUGGUGAGGAAAUGACUAUGGGCCAGGGUUUCCUGCAGGAGCUGGAAAUGCAGUGACUGGCUGAAGGCGUGCGCGUCUGCGCAGCCGUGCUGGGCCCACCUCCGCGCGGGGCUGCUAGCAGGCAGGACUCCUCAGGGCGGCUGAGGGGACCCUGAGAAUAAGAGGUACUUUCUCCUCCUUUUUGGAGGUGUCUUUGCUCAGAACAUUGUUUUCUUUUGUCUUCACUGAGAAAGCACAUUUUGUUAUGGGAAAAUGAAACCAAGAACUGCUGGCAGGUAAACAAAACAACACACAAACCCGUCCUGGGGAAACAGGACGGCACCUCACCUCCCUGAGAACCCCCAGGUGAGCACACAUGUGCACCUACUGUUCACCUGAACCACCUGGCACCUCCAGGCCGACUGCCCCAGGCAGGGACGGGCCUCAGCAGGGGGCGUUCAGACUUUCUGACAUUCGUACCACGAACUGUGUUUCUCUUGGCGCUGCUUCUGACUGAGUCAGAGAAACCGGACACCUCUAUUUCAGUGAUGGAGAUUUCUGACCCCUGUCUGGGUUUUCUGUUUUAUUGCAUCUGAAAGAAAUUGCCUCUUAGGUAUGAAAAUGGCUGCUUUGAUAUUCCUGGAGCUUGUAUAAUGUGCUGGGUGCAGAUUCUACCUCACUGACCCUCCUGGAAACUCAGAGACCAAGCAGUGGACUGCGGGGGGACAGAGACCUCUGUACUGGCAAUGAGGCCUUGGGGAUGCUGGGCCUCUGCCCCAUGGCUGCAUAGCAUCCCUCCCGUACCAGGACUGAUGACUGAUGGCUGUUGAUAGG